rnacentral:tRNA from 1 species
GGGGCCUUAGCUCAGCUGGGAGAGCGCCUGCUUUGCACGCAGGAGGUCAGCGGUUCGAUCCCGCUWRGCUCCACCA